CCUAGGAAACUAGAAAUGAACAGGUAGGACCAAGGGAAUGGGAAACUCAGAAUCAAGGAUAGGGGCCAGGACACUAAAAACAAGGAGUCAGCAGCCCAGGACUAAAGAGAAACACCUGUCCUGUUGAGUAGCCCACAGGGCUUUGAAAAUGCUGCUGCUUAUUAGGGCUGUGCAAAGCUUUGGGUGCUGAUUCAGCCCAAUUGGCUGGUUGAAUCUCCAAAUCCAAAUUGAAUCAAGGGACCAAUUAAAAGGAACAAAUCAAUUUGGAAAAGAUUUGGAGAGCUUCGAUGAUUUGGGCAGACCCUACCCACUGCAGCAGGGAGCUGGACCUGGACUCCCAGCUGGCAUCCCUUGACAAGUGUUUUGAACUCCAAUCCUAAAUCUCAUCAGCCAGAAGCGGAUCCAGAUUUUUACAACAAAGGGGUUGUGUGGAAGCACGCCCCAACCAGGGCAGGCAGAACGCACCACAGGACCAGCAGGUGGGAACUUUUGUGAGUCCUUAAGAAGCAUCUUGCAUCUCUUUUCAAGCCAGCGCAGGGCACGACCAAGAGGUAAUGCACUUCAAUUGCAAAGAGCACUUUCGAAAACUCUCCAGACCUGGACACUCCCUCAGCUAAGAUGCCAGGCUACUUAGUUACACCACUUUGGACAGAUAAAUUAAAGUGAAAACAUCCUUCCAAGUACUAAGAGAGACCUUAAUAGCAGGAUCUUUUCCAUAUUUUGCGGAGGAUAUAUGAGAGCAGUGUGACUACCCGAAUAGAGUGACUCUCUCUUCUAGAGAAACAAAAAAGAACAAGAAAAGCCUCUCAGUUUUAUAGCCAGUGCUGUCCAGCAGUCUAGUCCCUAAAGAAUGAUGUUAGUGGCUAUGUAGCAAUAUAUGGUCUGACAUUACUCACCUGGCAGAGCAGACAUGCUGAACUGAUCUUAUUUCUUCUGAGCAUUUGGAUCGUACAAGUCGCACACAAACAGGAGCUAAUAAAUAAGCUGCAACAAAGCAAGUGACUCCAGCUCCUCACGGAGUACUGACUCCAGCCAAAUCCAUUUGGCAACCUCUGUACUGAACGAAUAUUUGGAUGAAGAGAGAGCAAAGGGCUUAUGGUGCUGCUUGCCAGAUACUGUGUAUCUAGAGAGACAGGAGAAACUUGACUAACGCCAUCAUGUGUCCCCAGCUGCUAUGCAUCCACCCUCCUUCCAACCUUGGAUUGAGUCAUCAAAUAUUUUAACCUGACAAAAGGAAGUCAGCAGAGGACAGCAAGGGCAUGUGACAGCUGUCAUGACCCUGGGCUAGGACAUUCACAGCUUCCUCCCUCCUGCUCUGGCUAUGACCUGUAUUCCAAACCCAUAGGCAAAGGACACAGCCAAAGCAACCCUAUAAUUGCUACUCACAGGGCACAUCUACGUGAGAUGUUUAAUGUGGAGUUGACUAAUUAGCUCUGCAGUAAAUGUAUCGUGUCUACUCGUGAGGCCCUAUUAGGCCACAACAGGAUAGUACUGCUACAGAGGUUUUUUUUUACUCUGCAGCAGCUCAUGUGUAGACACCAACAUGGCUGGCUGGGGCACGAGGGUUCAUCAGCAUGGGGGCUGCCUUCCUGCUAGCCUCACAAUGGAGGACUCAUGCCCCAGCCAGCUCCCUGCACAGCACAUUGAGCUAGGUUCAAGCAGUCCUGGGCUGGCAGACUAACCUCCUGCCAGCUAGGGCUGCUCUGACCAAGCUCAACAUACUGCAAUCAUGGGUGCAUGUUCAAAUGGCGUGCCUGGGAGCAAUAAAUUACGGUGCAAUAUGUGCCAGAGUUUAUUGCUCUGUGCUAAUAGCAUGUGUAGAUGAAUCCACAUAGCCGUUUUUAUGUUCACUGAUUUGUCUAAGCAGCUCCAGGUACUAAGAAGAAAUCUAAAAACAUACAAACACACGCACACGAAUGCUCAGUGUGUCAAUGCUGCAAGUUAUAGCUAAACUUCAUUGGCAAAGGCUGGGAUACUAGAGAAGAACUGGGAUAAACUAUAGCCAAAUUGAUAUUACCUGAGGACUACUGGCAAAGAGCAUGCCAUGACCACUCUGCCACAUGGCAUAGGCCACUUUCAGACAGGAGACAGCACAGCAGCUUUAACAUGGUGCUAGGUCUAUGCAAAGAAGCACAUCUAAGAGAAAACAGGAGAACAGGUGCACAGGGGUGCCCGGAAGCCAUUGUGUUGCCUCAUUUCCAGGAUUUUCCAUGGGCUGAGCCAGAUGCAGUAGGCAUGGCGUGUUUCUUGUGGUGGCCCCACACACCACAUGACAGCAAAGUAGACAAGGCCUAAGAUAUCCCCUCCCUACCUCAGAUAUUUCUCCAAUAAAUUCCAUCCUCCUUCAUGAAAAGCUUAGGAGAAUUAGGGGUUUUCAAACUUGUCAACUGAAAAUAAGAGCCAGUUGUACUGCUGAAGCUAAGAUUCAUGCAUGUGCCCUCAGAGCUGUUUGGAAGGGCUUUGCUGUGUCAUGGAACAGUACAGGAAUGGACUCCCAGACAUUGCCAACCCUUCCAGGGAAUGAAAAAAUGGGAGGCUGGUAAUGACAGAGGUAUAAUAUGUGCUAACUACAGGGGAUGGAGCAGUCCCCUAAGCAAAUGAGUGUGUGAAGCAUGACCUUGGAGUCCAAGAGGCAUGGUGUAUCAGGGGUGUCAUGUCAGAGACAGAGGGAAAUGGUUAUACCCUAGUAUUAGGCUUAAAAUGGUGAAGACCAAAGCUGGCUCCAGCUGAGAUGUGUCUGUCCAAAUGACUCUGUGCAAGGAGAGUUUGCAAACUGUGUCCCAAGAUAAGGAUGUCUGGGGAAAUGUUGCUCCCUGGCAUCUCUAGCCUGUCAUCUGUUCAUUUUGACUAGGAUUUAAUUACCCUUUCCAGUCAACCAGCCUCUGAUCUCAGCAGUACAAUCUGCUAUGCCUCACAAAUCCCAAUGCAAGUCAAAGACACAGCUUUAUGCAGGCGAGCUGAGGAAGUGAUGAAUACUAGCCCCAAGUUGGACCUCUCUCAACUCGCUCCCAAAGGUGCCCUGUGGGUGCUGAAGGGAGCUGCAUACAAAGCAAGGUGUUAAGGGACACCAUAUGCUGUCCUAGUACUGGAAGAGGCAAUGUCUCACCGUGGAGAACAGCUCAGUCAGAUUCAGCUGGAAGCAGUCCCCCUCUGCAUCACUUAACCAGCACCAAAGGGGAAUUUAAAUACUCUGCCUUGCCCUAGCUCUCUGCAAAGAGCUGAAUUCAACCCCUUCCUUUACACAGUAACCUGGAUUACUUUUUAUACUGUACCAAGUCCUAUUCAGGCUUUACCAUGCACUUGUAUUCAAAACCCUUCCACCUCAGAUAAGAACACCAUACGGUAGGGGGAGAAAAAGGUGUCAAACUAUAUUUGUGUAUUUAGACCAAAGAAACUCUCCCUUCUCUCUGGGAGACCCAGUGCCCAGCACUAUUUAUCAGAUGCUUCCCACAACCUCUUGCUUUCCACUUCUGUACUACCUACAUUGUUUCUGGGCACCCUGGGAUACCAGUUCCUGCAGUGAAACUCACUGGGCUCUGCACAUGCAGAAAUAGGAAUACAGUACAAAGAACAAGGUGUAGAAAUGGGUGCUUGGUCUCUAACCCUUAAAACCCUGAGAGGACUACGAACUGGAAACCACUUCAGGGAUGAAGAGGAAGAUAGUUAUCCAGCAUUUGGCUAAGUAUUGGGAUACUCACCCAGUCUGACAUGACACUAGCCAAAGAGUGGGGACUUCAGGGUCCAGUGAGGAGGAGAAGCUGGUGAAGAAAUCUGGCAACGCUGAUGCCAUUCCAUGGACUUAUACAUAUCCAGCUUUUUAAAGUAGUCCAUAACCUGCUCUUUCACCACCAAGGGUUUCUCACCUCCUCCCCAAACUGUGCUGCCCAGUGCAGUAGUCUGGGAGCUGACCUUGCCUGUGACCAGUGCCAUAGCAAGCGGGCUGAGCAGGCGAUGGCCCCAGACGCCGCAGUGAAGGGGUGCCAAUAGGGCUGUGCAAAGCUUCAGUCCCAGAUUCAAUUCGAUGGAGAUUUGGCCUGAUUCAGCAGCUGAAUCUCUGAAUCUGAAUUGAAUGACAGGACCCUUCGCUCUCCGAAUCUAAUCAGAACUCUCUGAAUCAAUUCAGAGAUUUGGAAAAUUUGGUGAUUUGGACGUAGAUACAGCUUUAAAUGCUUUUUCUACAUACCUCAGGGUGUCAGGGGCUUGUGACUGCUGUGGU